UCGGCCAAUUUAUCUUUCAGCCUCAUAACUGAAGGAUGGAUGAAAGAUAAAAGUGGUCGGCA
rnacentral:pre_miRNA from 1 species